rnacentral:rRNA from 1 species
AUACGCAGGGGGCGAGCGUUGUCCGGAAUUACUGGGCGUAAAGCGCGUGCAGGCGGCCCGGCAAGUUGGCUGUGAAAGCCCCCGGCUCAACCGGGGGAGGUCGGUCAAAACUGCCGGUGCUAGAGGAUGGGAGAGGGAGAUGGAAUUCCGGGUGUAGUGGUGAAAUGCGUAGAGAUCCGGAGGAACACCAGUGGCGAAAGCGAUCUUCUGGCCCAUCACUGACGCUCAGACGCGAAAGCUAGGGGAGCGAACGGGAUUAGAGACCCCGGUAGUCCUAGCCGUAAACGAUGUAGACUAGGCGUGGGCGGGUUCAAAUCCGUCCGUGCCGCAGCCAACGCGAUAAGUCUACCGCCUGGGGACUACGGCCGCAAGGUUAAA